rnacentral:rRNA from 1 species
UACGUAGGGUGCGAGCGUUGCCCGGAUUUAUUGGGCGUAAAGGGCGCGUAGGCGGCCACGCACGUCCGUUGUGAAAUCGCCCGGCUCAACUGGGCGGGGUCGGCGGAUACGGUGUGGCUAGAGCAAGCUAGGGGGCAAUGGAAUUCCCGGUGUAGUGGUGGAAUGCGUAGAUAUCGGGAGGAACACCAGUGGCGAAGGCGGUUGCCUGGAGCUUUGCUGACGCUGAUGCGCGAAAGCGUGGGGAGCGAGUCCGG